GGCUGUUGUCAGCUCGUGUCGUGAGAUGUUGGGUUAAGUCCCGCAACGAGCGCAACCCUUGUCCUCAGUUACCAGCACGUUAUGGUGGGCACUCUGGGGAGACUGCCGGUGACAAACCGGAGGAAGGGGGGGACGACGUCAAGUCAUCAUGGCCCUUACGGCCGGGGCUACACACGUGCUACAAUGGUGCAUACAAACGGUUGCCAAGCCGCGAAGUGGAGCUAAUCUGAGAAAGUGCAUCGUAGUCCGGAUUGGAGUCUGCAACUCGACUCCAUGAAGUCGGAAUCGCUAGUAAUCGUGAAUCAAAAUGUCGCGGUGAAUACGUUCCCGGGA
rnacentral:rRNA from 1 species